rnacentral:rRNA from 1 species
UACAGAGGGUGCGAGCGUUAAUCGGAAUUACUGGGCGUAAAGCGUGCGUAGACGGUUUCGUAAGUCGGGUGUGAAAGCCCCGGGCUCAACCUGGGAAUUGCAUUCGAGACUGCGUAGCUAGGGUGCGGAAGAGGGAAGCGGAAUUUCCGGUGUAGCGGUGAAAUGCGUAGAUAUCGGAAGGAACAUCAGUGGCGAAAGCGGCUUCCUGGUCCAGCACCGACGUUCAGGCACGAAAGCGUGGGAGCAAACAGG